UACGAAGGGGGCUAGCGUUGUUCGGAAUUACUGGGCGUAAAGCGCACGUAGGCGGAUAUUUAAGUCGGGGGUGAAAUCCCGGGGCUCAACCCCGGAACUGCCUUCGAUACUGGGUAUCUUGAGUUCGGAAGAGGUGAGUGGAAUUGCGAGUGUAGAGGUGAAAUUCGUAGAUAUUCGCAGGAACACCAGUGGCGAAGGCGGCUCACUGGUCCGAUACUGACGCUGAGGUGCGAAAGCGUGGGGAGCAAACAGGG
rnacentral:rRNA from 1 species